rnacentral:lncRNA from 1 species
GUUUAUAGCAUAGUCCACUGGGACUGCCGCUCUGACAAAGACUGUGUCACUACUUUGUGGAAUGUUAUUUUAGAACUUCCAGAAUGCCUCAGUAAAUCCUGACUGCCAUGUAACUGUGUACUGUGCUGCUGAGCUCUUAACAUGAAGCAGCAGCAGUGACCCUGGCGGGCCAGGCUGACGUGCGUGGGAACAGUGGGAGUGACCCUGGCUGGGAAGCAGGGAGGCCUGGAUAUUGUUUCUCCUGGCUCUGUGUCCUGCCAUUCUCAUCCCUGUGCUCAGAGCUCUCAAGCACCCACGAUGGCCUUCUCAGGCCGAGCGCGCCCCUGCAUUAUCCCAGAGAACGAAGAAAUCCCCCGAGCAGCCCUUAACACUGUCCACGAGGCCAAUGGGACCGAGGACGAGAGGGCUGUUUCCAAACUGCAGCGCAGGCACAGUGACGUGAAAGUCUACAAGGAGUUCUGUGACUUUUAUGCGAAAUUCAACAUGGCCAACGCCCUGGCCAGCGCCACUUGCGAGCGCUGCAAGGGCGGCUUUGCGCCCGCUGAGACGAUCGUGAACAGUAAUGGGGAGCUGUACCAUGAGCAGUGUUUCGUGUGCGCUCAGUGCUUCCAGCAGUUCCCAGAAGGACUCUUCUAUGAGUUUGAAGGAAGAAAGUACUGUGAACAUGACUUUCAGAUGCUCUUUGCCCCUUGCUGUCAUCAGUGUGGUGAAUUCAUCAUUGGCCGAGUUAUCAAAGCCAUGAAUAACAGCUGGCAUCCGGAGUGCUUCCGCUGUGACCUCUGCCAGGAAGUUCUGGCAGAUAUCGGGUUUGUCAAGAAUGCUGGGAGACACCUGUGUCGCCCCUGUCAUAAUCGUGAGAAAGCCAGAGGCCUUGGGAAAUACAUCUGCCAGAAAUGCCAUGCUAUCAUCGAUGAGCAGCCUCUGAUAUUCAAGAACGACCCCUACCAUCCAGACCAUUUCAACUGCGCCAACUGCGGACAGGAAGGAUCUGACUGCCGAUGCACAGGAGCUGAAAGGGGAGCUAUACUGCCUGCCAUGCCAUGAUAAAAUGGGGGUCCCCAUCUGUGGCGCUUGCCGACGGCCCAUCGAAGGGCGUGUGGUGAACGCCAUGGGCAAGCAGUGGCAUGUGGAGCAUUUUGUUUGUGCCAAGUGUGAGAAACCCUUUCUUGGACAUCGCCAUUAUGAGAGGAAAGGCCUGGCGUAUUGUGAAACUCACUAUAACCAGCUAUUUGGUGAUGUUUGCUUCCACUGCAAUCGUGUUAUAGAAGGUGAUGUGGUCUCUGCUCUUAAUAAGGCCUGGUGCGUGAACUGCUUUGCCUGUUCUACCUGCAACACUAAAUUAACACUCAAUUUCUAGAAAAUUUCUCCACAAACUGAGAGCUGCAGAAUUGAUGACUCAGAGUGAACCGAGGAGAUCACUACUGUGCACAAGUUUGCCUCCAAACAACUGGGUGAUGCCUCCAAACAGACCUGGAAUCAUCCAUUUCUCCAAGGAUCUCUGCUUCUUCUUGUAAAAUAGGCUAUUUAAGGACUACAAUCUGAGCAUUAAGGGACUGUCCUUAUUAGAAGAGGAAACUUGGACACAGAUACACACAGAGGGAGCACCGUGUGAAGACACAGAGAGGAGAUGGCCAGCUACCAGCCAAGCAGAGAGCCCUUACUGUAAACCAACCCUGCCGCAUCCUGAUCUCAGAAUUUUGGCUUCCAGAACUUUCCAGCUACUAGGGAGGCUGAAGCAAGAGAAUGGCAUGAACCUGGGAGGCGGAGCUUGUCGUGAGCCCAGAUCAGGCCACUACACUCCAGCCGGGGCAACAGAGCGCAACUCCGUCUCAAAACAAACAAACAAAACAAAACAAAAAAAACUUAUAGACAAGUACAAAAUGAGAAGAAAAAGUCCCUUUCCCUUCAUGCCUCUACUUCCUGCUGUAUUCUCAAAGAACUAUCAUAGGAACAUACUGGGAAAACCAAAAGAAUUCACGGAUCCUUUGAAAGAAGACGCACACCACUGUAAAUUCUGUGGAACAGGAGAAAAACUGUCUUGGAGGAAGGCAUCCUUCUAUUCUACUGAUCAGAAAGCUGGACAAAGUCCCACUGCCAGGCUACACAGUUGGUGCCAUUUGCGGAGGUGACCUUUGACCUUUAACCCACGCGGCCACCCGCCCGAGCUCUUACCCCUGCUGCCCCUCGCGCGUCCCACUCCCCGUCCCUGCCGGAUCCGCUUCCCUGCGCUGGGCCCAGCGCGCCGCCAGGGAAGGGGCCGGAGCCUGGGAGCCCGCCCCGCCGUCGCCCGUCCUCCGCCCGCAGGCCCACCCGCAGCGGUCACGUGAAGGACCGAGCGCCGCGCGCCCAGGCGGGGCCUCCGGCCUGCACGAGGAGGGCAGAGUCCGUUGCGGCUGCCGCCCCGACGCCCGCGCAUCCCCGCUCGCCGCGCCCGCCGCCGCGAUGUCCGGGGCCGGCCUAGCCGCGGUGGUGAGCUGCCUGCGCCCGCAGCCCGGCGAGGAGCCGCAGACCCAUGAGGACCUUCUCCUGGCAGCUGCCUAUGUUUUGGAUGCCCAGUACAACAGAAAUGUUCCAUUUGAAACUCACCUCAGGCCAUCAGACGUUACUAUUUUUAUAACCACUAGACAACGCAGGUUGCCGCAUACUUCUUUAUUUGUGUAGACCUCGCUCUUGCCCUGUUUGAAGAGCCUGAGUUGCUUCCCCUGCCUUUCUUGGCCACCUCAAUAGCAGAAGUACUCUGCCUGACUGCAUACUUUGGCAGACUGGUACAUUUUGCAAAAGUCACUCCUCAAAUGGUUUUCUGGAAGGAUACAAAAGACAUCUGCACCAUGGUAACCACAGUGGCGAGUGUUCAUUGUAGUACCUGUAAGAGUUUAUGACCGAAGGCAGGAGCCAUGAAGAAAAAAGACUCAAUAGAUUUGCUUUUGAUGAAACAACAACACUUCCAUACAGUGAACGCCAUAAGCACAACUGCAAGCAAACCGCAAACUGAAGAACAAAUAGGGCAAAAUGUGGCAGUGCAGACAUUUCAGCAUAUCAAGAGCACUUCCAAAUUACAGGAAAAAAAAGAUAUCUCAAUAGAUAAUUUUGCUGAAGAUAAGUGAAGGCAACUCAUAAGGAAAAAAUAUGUAAAAUGGCCGAUAGGAAAGAUGUUUAACGUCACUAAUUAAAAAUUAUAGAAUAAAACGACAAUAAAAUACCAUGUGUUUGCCUAUAAAA